GCGGUAGUGGCUCAGUGGUAGAGCAUCGCCUUGCCAUGGCGAGGGUCGCGAGUUCGAAUCUCGUCUACCGCUCCA
rnacentral:tRNA from 1 species